CCACCAGACUCCUACGGGAGGCAGCAGUGAGGAAUAUUGGUCAAUGGGCGGGAGCCUGAACCAGCCAUGCCGCGUGAAGGCGAGUGCCCUACGGGCGUUAAACUUCUUUUGUGCGGGAGCAAUAAGGGCCACGCGUGGCCCGAUGAGAGUACCGCACGAAUAAGCAUCGGCUAACUCCGUGCCAGCAGCCGCGGUAAUACGUAGGGGGCAAGCGUUGUUCGGAAUGACUGGGCGUAAAGGGUGUGUAGGCGAUGUAGCAAGUUAGAAGUGAAAUACCUAGGGCUUAACUCAGGUGCUGCUUCUAAAACGGCUAUACUUGAGUGCAGUAGAGGAAAGUGGAAUUCCUGGUGUAGCGGUGGAAUGCGUAGAUAUUAGGAGGAACAUCAGUGGCGAAGGCGACUUUCUGGACUGUAACUGACGCGGAGGCACGAAAGUGUGGGGAGCAAACAGGAUUAGAUCCCGCAGUA
rnacentral:rRNA from 1 species